CCUGGUGCAAGCAGUGCCACAGAUAAAAGGGUUUGUGGCUGCGCAGUGACCUCUGCGUCUGUCCGCAGAAGUGCAGCAGCCAGCGAGAGGAACAGUAAAUACUGAAAAUGCCCAGGGACAGGAUGGUGUAGUAUCAGCUGUCACCCGGCACUUCAAUGCAAGACACAAUUAGUUGAGCACAGCCAUAUCCAAUCGCUAAUACUCGAUGGAAGCAAUACUGCAGUAAUUCACAACUGUCUGAGGUGUGGCUUUCCAUGAGAAAGGCUUCUUGUGAGACUCUGCAGACAGCUGCCAGAAAAUCCUCCUCAGAUAUAGUUAGAAGACUCCUAUAAACCCACAGGAUUCCAUCAGUCCUUCUGGAUUUACACAACACCAAAGGUGAGGUGCACUAUCAGGAAAGCUUCUCACAUCAUUUUGGUUGUCAAUCGGCAACUAAAAAGGCGGAGGGAGGGAUACAGUGGAUUCACUGAAAUGUGAAUCCAACUCUGGCUGGAUGUGAGAAGUGCUUGAAGAGGCUGCCUGGACAGAAAGCAGGUGAGGAACACUAAGGUUUUCUCAAAUGU